UACGUAGGUGGCAAGCGUUAUCCGGAUUUAUUGGGCGUAAAGGGUGCGCAGGCGGUCUGUUAAGUUCAGGGUGAAAGCGUGGGGCUCAACCCCAUAAAGCCCUGAAAACUGACAGACUUGAGUGCGGAAGAGGGAAGCGGAAUUCCAUGUGUAGCGGUAAAAUGCGUAGAUAUAUGGAGGAACACCGGUGGCGAAGGCGGCUUCCUGGUCCGUUACUGACGCUCAGGCACGAAAGCGUGGGGAGC
rnacentral:rRNA from 1 species